GUCCCCGUAGCACAAUGGAUAUAGUGCGUUGGACUUCUAAUCCAAAGGUCGUGUAUUCGAAACUCACUUGGGAUG